rnacentral:rRNA from 1 species
CCAGCAGCCGCGGUAAUUCCAGCUCCAAUAGCAUAUACUAACGUUGUUGCAGUUGAAAAGCUCGUAGUUGAACUUUUGGUAUGGGCGACCUGGCCUUGGGCGCAUGCCCUUGUCUGCCGUGUGUCGUACCUGGCCAUCCUUUUCUGCUUCUUUUCGGGGUAGGAAUCAUUUACUGUGAGUAAACUGGAGUGCUCAAAACAAGACGUUUGUUUGGUACAUCAAAGCAUGGAAUAAUAAGAUAGGACCUGGUUACUAUUUUGUUGGUUUGCAUAGCUGGGUAAUGAUGAAGAGGGCCAGUUGGGGGUAUUCGUAUUUAAUUGUCAGAGGUGAAAUUCUUGGAUUUA